UACGUAGGGUGCGAGCGUUAAUCGGAAUUACUGGGCGUAAAGCGUGCGCAGGCGGUUUUGCAAGCCGGAUGUGAAAUCCCCGGGCUUAACCUGGGAAUGGCAUUUGGGACUGCAAGGCUUGAGUGCGGCAGAGGAGACUGGAAUUCCUGGUGUAGCAGUGAAAUGCGUAGAUAUCAGGAGGAACACCGAUGGCGAAGGCAGGUCUCUGGGCUGACACUGACGCUCAUGCACGAAAGCGUGGGGAGCAAACAGG
rnacentral:rRNA from 1 species